GCAGGAGAGCUGCUUUAUGUUGUGGUUUUACUAAAUGAAUUCAAAGCUUGGCCUUCCUCCAGGCAAAUUCUGGGCCAGGUGCCAGCGGAGCAGCCCCCAGGGAGAGCACUGGAGCAAGGAGGGGCCAACAGCAGGGAAGAGCAGAGGAAUCCAAGAAGGCAGAUUUGCCUAGAAAACAGCUCUGUUUCCAUCUGCUGGGUCAGGAGUUGCUAUAGGAACCGGGAUGAUAGAGGCAGGGCCAUCUCCUGGGCCUGUCUGUGUGUGCGGAGGGAGGGAGGAGGGAGGAGUUACUCAAGUUUGAACAUAUCAUGUGUGUGCUGGUGGAAAGUUGCAAGGAAUGUCGAAACUACAGCCUGGCUCAACCUGUGGAGUUCCAAAGAGACGGAGCAGCAGUUCCCCGUGCUCGGCAGGCCCUGGCAGAGGCAGGUGCUGAGAACUUUCCAAAAUAGCUGUAGUUCCACCAAGAGCCUUCCAGGGUCACUCACUGCUCCACAGAGGCAGAGCUUGCCAAACUGGCUGGGAUCACAGCCCACCUACUCAGGCACCCAUCUUAUCACAGGCACAGGGGAGCCCCAGAGCCCGAGUGCAGCCAGCUGUGGAAUAACCUGCCCGUGCAGGAGAGAACCCUCUGGUCACAUUAGUUCCUGGUUUGUUUAUGCCUGGCUAGAGGAAAAUUUAUCUCCAGUGUGCUCUCUUUCACUCUGUUAA
rnacentral:lncRNA from 1 species